rnacentral:siRNA from 1 species
ACUCUAUCCAACAAAAGGGAAGUC